rnacentral:rRNA from 1 species
CAAUAGCGUAUAUUUAAGUUGCUGCAGUUAAAAAGCUCGUAGUUGGAUUUCGGGUGGGAAUGGCCGGUCCGCCGUUUCGGUGUGCACUUGCUACGCCCACCUUGAUGCCGGGGACGUGCUCUUGAGUUCACGCUCGGGACACGGAGUCGGCGAGGUUACUUUGAGUAAAUUAGAGUGUUCAAAGCAGGCCUACGCUCUGAAUACAUUAGCAUGGAAUAACACGAUAGGACUCUGGCCUAUCUUGUUGGUCUGUAGGACCGGAGUAAUGAUUAAGAGGGACAGUCGGGGGCAUUCGUAUUUCAUUGUCAGAGGUGAAAUUCUUGGAUUUAUGAAAGACGAACUACUGCGAAAGCAUUUGCCAAGGAUGUUUUCAUUGA